GGUCUUGUGGUCUAGUGGUAUGAUUCUCGCUUAGGGUUCACCCUGAGUCAUCACUGACAUACUAUAUGUAUAUGCGAGAGGCCCCGCGUUCGAGUCGCGGCAAGACCC